AUGAGUUCCAUGGAGGGAAGUGUCAUGAAGUACCCAGAGCCUGCAAGAGGGAGCACCGAAGCCAGCAGUGCUAAGACGUCAUGGCCGGAGGUGGUCGGGAUGUCCGCCAAGAAGGCCAAAGAGAUCAUCCUCCGGGACAAGCCCGAUGCCCAGAUCGAGGUCAUCCCGGUCGAUGUGCAGGUGACCCAGGACUUAAAUCUCAACCGUGUCCGCAUUGUCGUUGCCGUUGCCCGCACCCCUAUGGUUGGCUAG
rnacentral:rRNA from 1 species